rfam:Triticum aestivum genome assembly, contig: Triticum_aestivum_CS42_TGACv1_scaffold_177988_2DS
CUCAUACUCCCUCCGUUUGAGAAAACUUGUCUCUCAAAUAAAUGUAUCUAGCAUUAAGUUAGUGUUAGAUAUAUCCAUUUGAGAACCAAGCUUGAGACAAAUUUUUUCGGACAGAGGAAGUAUAUA